AUUAAAUUAAAAACAAUUUUAAAACGCAAAUAAAUUAAAAUAAAUAACUAAAAUAUUAAUUAAAAUAAAAACAAUUAUUUCAGCGAAAAUACACUCAAAAGCGAGUCAUCACACCAACGGCAGACGAAAUUCAACUCGAAGUUUAUAAAGCUGGAGAAAUACAAGGUGAAAGUGAGAAGAUUGCCUUCCCCAAAAUCGAGUCAUCCAAAGAUGGUGUCAAUGCUGAAAGCUCAGAAUUGGGUGCUUCAACCGAAGCUGAAAAUAUACGUAGUUCAGAAGUUUGGGAGUCUAAAGUUUAUGCGACAAAAGAUGGAUUUUUGAGAGCCAACUUGGUGGGAAUUGCUCUGCAGGUUUUGAUGCUUAUUGCAACUAUAGCUUUGAUCUAUAUGAUGAAACAUGGAAACACAACCCCAAUUACUACUGUCAACGUGGAGCAACCACUACUGACAAAGAAAUUGGAUUUCAGCCCAAUAUUUAGCAUAGACUAGAUAUUCCUCGAGAGGCCAUCUUCUCGGAAUUGGGCGACCGAGAUGGACGUGGAUGGAGAGUCAUGUCCUUCGGAAAUGAGCAGCUUUCAGACAAUCUCAUCUUACAGUAAGAAAGGAUUCGAGGCGUCAGAGCCAGGAGAGGAGGAAGCGAGGGAAGAACCAUAAGAGAGACUCAAUUGCGACUUCCUCAGGCUACUCUGUGGGCCGGCUUUCUUACGGCAAUUUUAUCACCUACGAGAAGAUUCUGAGCAAUCAUGGACAUGAAGACGAGGAGACAAUUACUCCUGUUAUGCGCUCCGGUAGAAUCAAAAACAAAGUCACCUCCUCAUGAUCAUGACCAAUUCUAUCCUACUUUUCUAUUUCUUCCGGUAGGAAUGGGGCACUAACUAGUUGCUUUUUCUUAAUUGUAAGACUUGUAAGUGGUACCUCCACUCUUCGUCAAUCAGUAAUUUUCUGUUGCUAAA